rnacentral:rRNA from 1 species
UUCCAGACUCCUACGGGAGGCAGCAGUGGGGAAUAUUGCACAAUGGGGGAAACCCUGAUGCAGCGACGCCGCGUGGGCGACGAAGCGCUCCGGCGCGUAAAGCCCUGUCAGCAGGGAAGAACAAAGACAGUACCUGACCAAGAAGCCCCGGCUAACUACGUGCCAGCAGCCGCGGUAAUACGUAGGGGGCAAGCGUUAUCCGGAUUCACUGGGCGUAAAGGGAGCGUAGACGGUCCUGCAAGCCAGAUGUGAAAGCCCGGGGCUCAACCCCGGGACUGCAUUUGGAACUGUAAGGCUAGAGUGUCGGAGAGGCAGGCGGAAUUCCUAGUGUAGCGGUGAAAUGCGUAGAUAUUAGGAGGAACACCAGUGGCGAAGGCGGCCUGCUGGACGAUGACUGACGUUGAGGCUCGAAAGCGUGGGGAGCAAACAGGAUUAGAUACCCCGGUAA